GAUGAACGCUGGCGGCGUGCCUAAUACAUGCAAGUCGAGCGAACAGACGAGGAGCUUGCUCCUCUGACGUUAGCGGCGGACGGGUGAGUAACACGUGGAUAACCUACCUAUAAGACUGGGAUAACUUCGGGAAACCGGAGCUAAUACCGGAUAAUAUAUUGAACCGCAUGGUUCAAUAGUGAAAGACGGUUUUGCUGUCACUUAUAGAUGGAUCCGCGCCGCAUUAGCUAGUUGGUAAGGUAACGGCUUACCAAGGCAACGAUGCGUAGCCGACCUGAGAGGGUGAUCGGCCACACUGGAACUGAGACACGGUCCAGACUCCUACGGGAGGCAGCAGUAGGGAAUCUUCCGCAAUGGGCGAAAGCCUGACGGAGCAACGCCGCGUGAGUGAUGAAGGUCUUCGGAUCGGAGAACUCUGUUAUUAGGGAAGAACAAAUGUGUAAGUAACUAUGCACGUCUUGACGGUACCUAAUCAAAAAGCCACGGCUAACUACGUG
rnacentral:rRNA from 1 species